ACUCCUAUCUGGCUUAGGCAGAAGGUAGGGGGCUCGAUGGGUACCCAGGAGCUCUGGAGGUAGGAGAUGCCAUCUAGGGAACCCCGUUCUACCUGAGGGCUCUGUGUCUCUGCCUUUGUAUACUGGAGGGCACCAUGGAUGUCGCCUUCCCUCUGGAGUCCCCUUCACCAUUUCCUCUCUAGAAGGAUGGAAGGUGGGAGUGGGGUUGGCUAUUGAAGCUGGAACGGGGAAGAAGGCCACUUGGGGUCUGCUGAGGGCUGGGUCUGCUCACUGCUGUGUCCGGAGUGGAAAGGAGAAGCCCGCUGGAGCAGGGUACAAGCCCAAGGGUCAAACUGCGCCAGCAGUAGAGCAAGCCGCGGUCUCAGGCUGCAGCCCUAGCAGAGGUCAGGCUGGUGCAGCCAGCCGUCUCGGGGCCUAAGGGCGCUGGCGGGGGCCGGUGGGUAGGGGUAGGAGUCCCCAAAUGCCUUCAUCUCAGCCCAUCCUUCUCCACCGAAAAAUAAAGCAGGCUGGCGAGAUCGCCUCCUCACCCGCUCA
rnacentral:lncRNA from 1 species